CAUGGUUGUCGUCAGCUCGUGUCGUGAGAUGUUGGGUUAAGUCCGCAACGAGCGCAACCCCUAUUGUUAGUUGCCAUCAUUCAGUUGGGCACUCUAGCGAGACUGCCGGUAAUAAACCGGAGGAAGGUGGGGAUGACGUCAAAUCAUCAUGCCCCUUAUGACCUGGGCUACACACGUGCUACAAUGGUUGGUACAACGAGUUGCGAGUCGGUGACGGCGAGCUAAUCUCUUAAAGCCAAUCUCAGUUCGGAUUGUAGGCUGCAACUCGCCUACAUGAAGUCGGAAUCGCUAGUAAUCGCGGAUCAGCACGCCGCGGUGAAUACGUUCCCGGGCCUU
rnacentral:rRNA from 1 species